rnacentral:rRNA from 1 species
CCUACGGGUGGCAGCAGUGGGGGAUAUUGCACAAUGGGGGAAACCCUGAUGCAGCGACGCCGCGUGUGGGAAGACGGUCCUCUGUAUUGUAAACCACUGUCCCCAGGGCCGAAGAUGACGGUCCCUGGGGAGGAAGCUCCGACUAACUACGUUCCCGCAGCCUCGGUAAUACGUAGGGAGCGAGCGUUGUUCGGAAUUACUGGGUGUAAAGGGAGCGUAGGCGGGACGGCAAGUUGGGUGUCAAAUCUACAGGCUCAACCGGUAGCCGCACUCAAAACUGGAGUUCUUGAGUGAAGUAGAGGCAGGCGGAAUGACUAGUGUAGCGGUGAAAUGCGUAGAUAUUAGGAGGAACACCAGUGGCGAAGGCGGCCUGCUGGGCUUUUACUGACGCUGAGGCUCGAAAGUGUGGGGAGCAAACAGGAUUAGAUACCCGAGUAGUC